rnacentral:rRNA from 1 species
AACGAACGCUGGCGGCAGGCUUAACACAUGCAAGUCGAACGCAUCCUUCGGGGUGAGUGGCAGACGGGUGAGUAACGCGUGGGAACGUGCCCUUCAGUUCGGAAUAACCCAGGGAAACUUGGGCUAAUACCGGAUACGUGCGAGAGCAGAAAGAUUUAUCGCUGAAGGAUCGGCCCGCGUCUGAUUAGCUGGUUGGUGGGGUAAUGGCCCACCAAGGCGACGAUCAGUAGCUGGUCUGAGAGGAUGAUCAGCCACAUUGGGACUGAGACACGGCCCAAACUCCUACGGGAGGCAGCAGUGGGGAAUAUUGGACAAUGGGGGAAACCCUGAUCCAGCCAUGCCGCGUGAGUGAUGACGGCCUUAGGGUUGUAAAGCUCUUUCGGCGGGGACGAUAAUGACGGUACCCGCAGAAGAAGCCCCGGCUAACUUCGUGCCAGCAGCCGCAGUAACAC